rnacentral:rRNA from 1 species
UGAGGCGUGGCUUCCGGAGCUAACGCGUUAAGUCGACCGCCUGGGGAGUACGGCCGCAAGGUUAAAACUCAAAUGAAUUGACGGGGGCCCGCACAAGCGGUGGAGCAUGUGGUUUAAUUCGAUGCAACGCGAAGAACCUUACCUACUCUUGACAUCCAGAGAACUUAGCAGAGAUGCUUUGGUGCCUUCGGGAACUCUGAGACAGGUGCUGCAUGGCUGUCGUCAGCUCGUGUUGUGAAAUGUUGGGUUAAGUCCCGCAACGAGCGCAACCCUUAUCCUUUGUUGCCAGCGGUCCGGCCGGGAACUCAAAGGAGACUGCCAGUGAUAAACUGGAGGAAGGUGGGGAUGACGUCAAGUCAUCAUGGCCCUUACGAGUAGGGCUACACACGUGCUACAAUGGCGCAUACAAAGAGAAGCGAACUCGCGAGAGCAAGCGGACCUCAUAAAGUGCGUCGUAGUCCGGAUUGGAGUCUGCAACUCGACUCCAUGAAGUCGGAAUCGCUAGUAAUC